rnacentral:rRNA from 1 species
CAGCCGCCGCGGUAAUACGUAGGUCCCGAGCGUUGUCCGGAUUUAUUGGGCGUAAAGGGAGCGCAGGCGGUUUAGUAAGUCUGAAGUUAAAGGCAUUGGCUCAACCAAUGUAUGCUUUGGAAACUGUUAGACUUGAGUGCAGAAGGGGAGAGUGGAAUUCCAUGUGUAGCGGUGAAAUGCGUAGAUAUAUGGAGGAACACCGGUGGCGAAAGCGGCUCUCUGGUCUGUCACUGACGCUGAGGCUCGAAAGCGUGGGUAGCGAACAGGAUUAGAUACCCGUGUAGUCCCUGUCUCUUAUACC